rnacentral:rRNA from 1 species
UACGUAGGUGGCAAGCGUUGUUCGGAAUUAUUGGGCGUAAAGCGCGCGCAGGCGGUCUUUUAAGUCUGAUGUGAAAGCCCACGGCUCAACCGUGGAGGGUCAUUGGAAACUGGGAGACUUGAGUGCAGAAGAGAAGAGUGGAAUUCCACGUGUAGCGGUGAAAUGCGUAGAGAUGUGGAGGAACACCAGUGGCGAAGGCGACUCUUUGGUCUGUAACUGACGCUGAGGCGCGAAAGCGUGGGGAGCAAACAGG